rnacentral:rRNA from 1 species
CUUUCUUUGCUGGCGACCGGCGCACGGGUGAGUAACACGUAUCCAACCUGCCCUUUACUCGGGGAUAGCCUUUCGAAAGAAAGAUUAAUACCCGAUAGCAUGAUGAUUCCGCAUGGUUUCAUUAUUAAAGGAUUCCGGUAAAGGAUGGGGAUGCGUUCCAUUAGGUUGUUGGUGGGGUAACGGCCCACCAAGCCUUCGAUGGAUAGGGGUUCUGAGAGGAAGGUCCCCCACAUUGGAACUGAGACACGGUCCAA